UACGAAGGGGGCUAGCGUUGCUCGGAAUCACUGGGCGUAAAGGGCGCGUAGGCGGCGGACUUAGUCGGGCGUGAAAUCCCCGGGCUCAACCCGGGGGCUGCGCCCGAUACGGGUCCGCUGGAGGACGGGAGAGGCUCGCGGAAUUCCCAGUGUAGAGGUGAAAUGCGUAGAUAUUGGGAAGAACACCGGUGGCGAAGGCGGCGAGCUGGCCCGUUUCUGACGCUGAGGCGCGACAGCGUGGGGAGCAAACAGG
rnacentral:rRNA from 1 species